CCCUUAGAUGUUCUGGGCUGCACACGUGCUACACUGAGUGGAUCAGCGGGUCAGGUUGCGCGAAAGCGUUUCCUAAUCUUUAAAUCCGCUCGUGAUGGGGAUUGACGGUUGCAAUUUUCUGUCAUGAACGAGGAAUACCUUGUAAGCGCGGGUCAUCAUCCCGCGCUGAAUACGUCCCUGCCCUUUGUACACACCGCCCGUCGCUCCUACCGAUUGAGUGGUCCGGUGAGGCUUUGGGAUCUGAGCGGAAAGAGCGUUUCGCUGUUUCUGCUCGGAAAACUCAGUCGAACCUUAUCAUUUAGAGGAAGGAGAAGUCGUAACA
rnacentral:rRNA from 1 species